GGAGACGUGACAGAGGAUCUCCACCCUUGAUUAGACACCAGGACAGUGUGUGAGGAGGAGAAAAAGGAGCCAGCAUCAGCUGAGAGAUAUAGAGGAGAACAGGGGGACAACAGAUAGCUCUCUGUAGUUGAGGGACUGCUGUGAAGGCUCGCUGUCAUCAGAAAGCUGAUGUGGGAGUGGCUCACGCCUUCAGCCAGUGGCAGGUGUGCAUGAAGGACAGCAUGCACCUGAACCAGGUGCUGGGCCUCCCUCUGCCUGAACCAGACGUCGCAUGGUGAGACGUUCUCUUAAAGCGCACUUCCCAAGUUCACAAGGUCGUUUGCAGCUCAGCCCGGGCGCAGGACGAGCUGCGACUGGAUGAUUGGCUGCUGCUGAAAACUUCGUACAAAACCAAGGAGAGUAGGAAUCGCUACAACAAAAUGGACCUGAGCCGGAAGGAGGAGCGCCGAGCCACGGACCUCCUCUGACAGUCGGACAAUCGCUGGAACCGCCAUCACCAUCCACUCUGGGCUUCAGCCCACUUUGUAGCUUUACAAAUACAGGCCAUUUACAGAUGAGUUAUGGAUUUGAUGGCCUCUUGUGGGCAGUCCUCCCUCUGUUGACUCAUUCUUUGCUCCAGCACCUCUGCAGGAAAAUGUCAGAGUCUAUGUGUGACAAAUAUCUUCUAUUUUUUAACAAUCUGGGUCAUUUGUGAUUUAACGGGAAACAUGAAUGUAAGUUUUAUAAAAAAGAACCUAGUCUAUAAAGAUUUAAAUGUUUCUGACCCCAAUCUUUUUUUCCUGUCCUGUCCGAAGGAGAAGAAAAAUGCCCAACAGAUUAUUUUACUGCUCUUGCUAUAUUGGUCCACUUUAUUGUCACUUUUUUUAUUCAGCCUUUAUUAUUUUUAUUAUUUAUUUUGUUUUUAUUUGGAGUUAUUAGAGGACCGGGGGACAGGAAAGAGAAAGAACGAGGGGAAGAGAGAGAGAAGACAACACAGCAGGGAAACCAUGGCAACAACCAACCUCAGCAACAGUAAAUAAUAAACAUAAUUGUUACUGAGAAGCACACAGGACUGAUAAUGUAUAAUAUGUUUAGAGACAGCAGCCAACCCAGACAGUGUGUGUCUCUGAACACCUGUGUGUGUGAGCGCACUUAUGUUCAUAAGGAUUCUCCAUGUAAGUGUCUGAUAGUGGGUGUGGGGAGCCAUAGCCCCGCCCCCCAAGUAAUUGAGGGAGGCAUGGAGGAGAUCCCCUCAUAGCCGAGGAGGACAGACUCAAUUCAGGGCUGUCGUCUGUGACUCUUCUGCACAGCUGCUGUGUCUGCUGCUAUUUGCAGAUCAGUCCCUGAGUCUUCUCAUUUUAAGGACAAAUUUGCAUCACACUUGGAUCAAUUCUUGCCUUUUUAAGAAUGUCUCACCUUGCUCCUCAUUUAAAUUUGUUAUAACGUCAUAUUUGUGACAUGUUAUUAAAUAUGUGGACACCA